AGUUGCAAACUUAAAGCCAUGGCAGGAGUGUGUACCACGUGGCCCUGUCAGAUUCUACUGAAUCUGUGAAUUCUGCU
rnacentral:ribozyme from 1 species